CCUACGGGAGGCAGCAGUGAGGAAUAUUGGUCAAUGGCCGGAAGGCUGAACCAGCCAUGCCGCGUGAAGGUCAGUGCCCUAUGGGCGUUAAACUUCUUUUGUGCGGGAGCAAUAAUGGUCACGUGUGGCCAGACGAGAGUACCGUACGAAUAAGCAUCGGCUAACUCCGUGCCAGCAGCCGCGGUAAUACGGGGGAUGCAAGCGUUAUCCGGAUUUAUUGGGUUUAAAGGGUGCGUAGGCUGUGAGGUAAGUCAGCGGUGAAAUGCCGCCGCUCAACGGGGUGAAGUGCCAUUGAUACUGCCUUGCUGGAAUGCGGAUGCCGUGGGAGGAAUGUGUGGUGUAGCGGUGAAAGGCAUUGAUAUCACACAGAACACCGAUUGCGAAGGCAUCUCACGAAUCCGCGAUUGACGCUGAUGCACGAAAGCGUGGGUAUCAAACAGGAUUAGAUACCCUAGGUC
rnacentral:rRNA from 1 species